CUUCCAGUAGCACCUUAGAGACCAACUAAGUUUGUUAUUGGUAUGAACUUUCGUAUGCAUGCCCACUUCUUCAGAUACCACAUGAAGUACCUGAAGAAGUGUGCAUGCACACGAAAGCUCAUACCAGUAACAAACUCAGUUGGUCUCUAAGGUGCUACUGGAAG